rnacentral:rRNA from 1 species
GACGAACCGUGCGAACGUUGUUCGGAAUUACUGGGCGUAAAGGGCGCGUAGGCGGCCUGCUAAGUCGAACGUGAAAUCCCUGGGCUCAACCCAGGAACUGCGUCCGAUACUGGUUGGCUUGAAUCCGGUAGAGGGAUGUGGAAUUCCAGGUGUAGCGGUGAAAUGCGUAGAUAUCUGGAGGAACACCGGUGGCGAAGGCGACAUCCUGGACCGGCAUUGACGCUGAGGCGCGAAAGCCAGGGGAGCAAACGGG